CUUAUUCCCAAACCUCCUAUAGAACUAAACCUUAAUGAUUCUGAAUCUAUCUCCUAUGUUCUAUCACCUCGUUCAUAUUAUAAUUGUCAUAAGAGAAAGAAAAAUGAUUUAGAUGACUUUAAGAAACUAAUAAAAUUAGAAGAAGAAAAAACAUUAAUAACCAUGGAAAUGCUUAAAAAUAAAC